rnacentral:rRNA from 1 species
GAUGAACGCUGGCGGCGUGCCUAAUACAUGCAAGUCGAGCGAACGGACGAGAAGCUUGCUUCUCUGAUGUUAGCGGCGGACGGGUGAGUAACACGUGGAUAACCUACCUAUAAGACUGGGAUAACUUCGGGAAACCGGAGCUAAUACCGGAUAAUAUUUUGAACCGCAUGGUUCAAAAGUGAAAGACGGUCUUGCUGUCACUUAUAGAUGGAUCCGCGCUGGAUUAGCUAGUUGGUAAGGUAACGGCUUACCAAGGCAACGAUGCAUAGCCGACCUGAGAGGGUGAUCGGCCACACUGGAACUGAGACACGGUCCAGACUCCUACGGGAGGCAGCAGUAGGGAAUUUUCCGCAAUGGGCGAAAGCCUGACCGAGCCACGCCGCGUGAGUGAAGAAGGUCUUCGGAUCGUAAAACUCUGUUAUUAGGGAAGAACAUAUGUGUAAGUAACUGAGCACAUCUUGACGGUACCUAAUCAGAAAGCCACGGCUAACUACGUG